GCAAAGUUAGCAAGUUGCAGCGCCUCUGCGUUCUGAUUCUAUGGAACCUUUUUGUAGGGAGAAGGGCAGGAUGUUUUUAACUGAAUGUGACCUCACGGGAAUUCUAGAGAAAAUAAUAAAAUUUCUGAAUGGGGCAGCGUGGAGAAAUCCUAAGAGAAAUAGCAUAAGAGCAUUUUGGAACACAUCCAGGAAAAGAUAACUUUCGACACACCUGUAGACGUUCGCCAGGUAAAGAAUUACCACAGAAAAUAUUUUUUGUUUUAUAAUAAAACAUGUGAUACUCUACAUUGGACAUACAUUUUACACUUGAAAUCUGGAAAGAAAAACCUACUAGACUGGAACAGAAUUCCAAAGACCGUGAGGGGACAAAUCUAGGGAGACAUGUUAUAUUUUGUUUUAGGGUUAUUAUAAAACUCUAGUUUCAUCGUCUAUGCAUAAAUGUUUAGGGGAUCUAAAUGUCUUUUCACUAAAUUUUAUUCUGUAAUCUGAAAGUUAGCAUUUAAGAUGAUCAUUCUUAUAGGCUAAUUAGGAUGAUAAAAUCCUUUCCUCUUUUCAAAAGUUCACGAGCGCAUAAC